UCUUUAUUAGUAUGCAUUCUCUUGUCAAUAUAAAUUUUAGUGGAUUAACCUCUGUGAACCCAUCUCUCUAAACAGUGCACUUCCAGCUCCUCAUUUAUGCAUAACUUUCAGUUAUGCAGAAGUUUCAUACACUGAUGGACUCCAAAGGAUUUCCAUUCAGCUCUAAUUUGCGCAGGUUGGUCCAUAUACCCAGCACAAACUCCAAGUCCUGCAAAUACCAAAGAAAAGAAAAUCAAUACUUUUGCUAACUUAGCUCAAUGCUAAUUUUCCAGAUUUUUGUUGACUACUACUCACUUGAUAAAUGAUCCAGAACCUGCUCACGCCAUUGUAUGUUUAUCUAAGAAGGUACUAAUCCCAUGUUGAAAUAUGAUUACCCUUUGGAUACGCUCUAGUUGUUCAUUGCCUUCCUGUCUCUAAUAAAGUGUUUUCACUUUA